UGUGGGAGCGGGCUUGCUCGCGACGGGAUCGAUGCGGUUGUUCAGUGACACCGCGUCGCCUUUAUCGCGAGCAAGCCCGCUCCCACA
rnacentral:misc_RNA from 1 species